GAUGAACGCUAGCGGCAGGCCUAACACAUGCAAGUCGAGGGGUAGAACACUUCGGUGUUUGAGACCGGCGCACGGGUGCGUAACGCGUAUGCAAUCUACCUUGUACAGGGGAAUAGCCCAGAGAAAUUUGGAUUAAUGCCCCAUAGUAUAUAACCUUCGCAUGUUGGUUAUAUUAAAGUUCCAACGGUACAAGAUGAGCAUGCGUCCCAUUAGUUAGUUGGUAAGGUAACGGCUUACCAAGACGAUGAUGGGUAGGGGUCCUGGGAGGGAGAUCCCCCACACGGGUACUGGGACACGGACCAGACUCCUACGGGAGGCAGCAGUGAGGAAUAUUGGUCAAUGGGCGCAAGCCUGAACCAGCCAUGCCGCGUGCAGGAAGACGGUCCUAUGGAUUGUAAACUGCUUUUAUACAGGAAGAAACCCUCCAACGUGUGGGAGAUUGACGGUACUGUAGGAAUAAGGAUCGGCUAACUCCGUGCCAGCCGCCGCCGUAAAAC
rnacentral:rRNA from 1 species